AGCGAACGCUGGCGGCAGGCCUAACACAUGCAAGUCGAACGAACUCUUCGGAGUUAGUGGCGGACGGGUGAGUAACACGUGGGAACGUGCCUUUAGGUUCGGAAUAACUCAGGGAAACUUGAGCUAAUACCGGAUGUGCCCUUCGGGGGAAAGAUUUAUCGCCUUUAGAGCGGCCCGCGUCUGAUAGCUAGUUGGUGAGGUAAAGGCUCACCAAGGCGACGAUCAGUAGCUGGUCUGAGAGGAUGAUCAGCCACAUUGGGACUGAGACACGGCCCAAACUCCUACGGGAGGCAGCAGUGGGGAAUCUUGCGCAAUGGGCGAAAGCCUGACGCAGCCAUGCCGCGUGAAUGAUGAAGGUCUUAGGAUUGUAAAAUUCUUUCACCGGGGACGAUAAUGACGGUACCCGGAGAAGAAGCCCCGGCUAACUUCGUG
rnacentral:rRNA from 1 species